UUUGAGGAGUUUGAUCCUGUACCUAUUGCAAGGGCUUCCCUUGCUUAGGUUCAUGUUGCUCGAACUCAUCAGGGUCAAAAAGUUGCUGUGAAGGUGCAACAUAUGCACAUGACAGAUACUACAGCUGCAGAUUAUGCGACAGUGGAAUUGAUUGUCAACACGACAGUCUACCUAAGAAUGAAAAUGGGCUGCAAAUGAGCGAUAAGUCAAAUAUUGAGACUGUACUUGGAAUAAGCUCUGUUCGUUUGCAUGGGUGGGGGCGUG
rnacentral:lncRNA from 1 species